UACGUAGGGUGCAAGCGUUGUCCGGAAUUAUUGGGCGUAAAGAGCUCGUAGGCGGUCUGUCGCGUCGGCUGUGAAAUCCCGAGGCUCAACCUCGGGUCUGCAGUCGAUACGGGCAAACUGGAGUGUUGCAGGGGAGACUGGAAUUCCUGGUGUAGCGGUGAAAUGCGCAGAUAUCAGGAGGAACACCGGUGGCGAAGGCGGGUCUCUGGGCAACAACUGACGCUGAGGCACGAAGGCCAGGGGAGCAAACGGG
rnacentral:rRNA from 1 species